ACCUAGCUGGUUCAGUUGGAAGAGUGUGAGACUCCUGAUCUCGGGGUCAUGAGUUCGAGCCCUAUGCUGGGUA